CGGGAAGUAGCUCAACUUGGUAGAGCACUUGGUUUGGGACCAAGGGGUCGCAGGUUCGAAUCCUGUCUUCCCGA
rnacentral:tRNA from 1 species